UUGGGCGUAAAGAGUCCGUUAGCCGGAUACAAUAAGUCUGUUUUCAAAUACUAUGGCUCAACCAUAGAAAGGGAAUAGAUACUGUGUAUCUGGAAGUUAUUGGGGGUUAGUGGAAUUUCAGGUGGACCGGUGAAAUGCGUUGAUAUCUGAAAGAACGCCGAAAGCGAAAGCAGCUAACUACAAUAAACUUGACGGUAAUGGACGAAAGCUUGGGGAGCGAACGGGAUUAGAUACCCCGGUAGUCCAAGCUGUAAAUUAUGCUUGCUAGAUGUUUUGGACCCUUGUGGUCUGGAGUGUCGUAAUCUAACGAGUUAAGCAAGCCGCCUGGGUAGUAUAUUCGCAAGAAUGAAACUCAAAGGGAUAGGCGGGGGAACACACAAGCAGUGGAUUGUCUAGAUUAAUUGGAUAAUAAGCCAAGAAUCUCACCUAGAUUUGACAUGUACUAUGUCCUAUAUGAAAGUAUAGUAGUCCGGGCAAUCGGACAUGGUAUACAGGUGGUGCAUGGUCGUCGUCAGCUCGUGCCGCAAGGUGUCUAGUUUAGUCUGGAAACGAGCGCAACCCUCAUCUUUAGUUAGAAUGUCUAAAGAGACUGCCUGGGUAACCAGGAGGAAGGAGAGGAUGACGUCAGAUCCUCAUGCCCCUUACAUCUAGGGCUUCAUAGACAAUACAAUGGGUAGUACAACGAGAAGCUAAGCCGCGAGGUGGAGCAAACCUCUAAAACUAUCCCUAGUUCGGAUUGUAGUCUGGAACUCGACUACAUGAAGUUGGAAUUGCUAGUAAUGGCGGGUCAGCUACACCGCCGUGAAUAUGUCCCUGUUCCUUGCACUCACCGCCCGUCAAACCAUGGGAGCUGAGAGCCUCUGAAGAUGU
rnacentral:rRNA from 1 species